rnacentral:rRNA from 1 species
AUGAACGCUAGCUACAGGCUUAACACAUGCAAGUCGAGGGGCAGCAUCAUCAAAGCUUGCUUUGAUGGAUGGCGACCGGCGCACGGGUGAGUAACACGUAUCCAACCUGCCGACAACACUGGGAUAGCCUUUCGAAAGAAAGAUUAAUACCGGAUGGCAUAGUUUUCCCGCAUGGGAUAAUUAUUAAAGAAUUUCGGUUGUCGAUGGGGAUGCGUUCCAUUAGGCAGUUGGCGGGGUAACGGCCCACCAAACCAACGAUGGAUAGGGGUUCUGAGAGGAAGGUCCCCCACAUUGGAACUGAGACACGGUCCAAACUCCUACGGGAGGCAGCAGUGAGGAAUAUUGGUCAAUGGACGAGAGUCUGAACCAGCCAAGUAGCGUGAAGGAUGACUGCCCUAUGGGUUGUAAACUUCUUUUAUACGGGAAUAAAGUGAGCCACGUGUGGCUUUUUGUAUGUACCGUAUGAAUAAGGAUCGGCUAACUCCGUGCCAGCAGCCGCGGUAAUACGGAGGAUCCGAGCGUUAUCCGGAUUUAUUGGGUUUAAAGGGAGCGUAGGCGGGUUGUUAAGUCAGUUGUGAAAGUUUGCGGCUCAACCGUAAAAUUGCAGUUGAUACUGGCGACCUUGAGUGCAACAGAGGUAGGCGGAAUUCGUGGUGUAGCGGUGAAAUGCUUAGAUAUCACGAAGAACUCCGAUUGCGAAGGCAGCUUACUGGAUUGUAACUGACGCUGAUGCUCGAAAGUGUGGGUAUCAAACAGGAUUAGAUACCCUGGUAGUCCACACAGUAAACGAUGAAUACUCGCUGUUGGCGAUAUACAGUCAGCGGCCAAGCGAAAGCAUUAAGUAUUCCACCUGGGGAGUACGCCGGCAACGGUGAAACUCAAAGGAAUUGACGGGGGCCCGCACAAGCGGAGGAACAUGUGGUUUAAUUCGAUGAUACGCGAGGAACCUUACCCGGGCUUAAAUUGCAACUGACGGAAUCGGAAACGGUUCUUUCUUCGGACAGUUGUGAAGGUGCUGCAUGGUUGUCGUCAGCUCGUGCCGUGAGGUGUCGGCUUAAGUGCCAUAACGAGCGCAACCCUUAUCGAUAGUUACUAGCAGGUCAUGCUGAGGACUCUAUUGAGACUGCCGUCGUAAGAUGUGAGGAAGGUGGGGAUGACGUCAAAUCAGCACGGCCCUUACGUCCGGGGCUACACACGUGUUACAAUGGGGGGUACAGAAGGCAGCUACACGGCGACGUGGUGCUAAUCCCAAAAGCCUCUCUCAGUUCGGAUUGGAGUCUGCAACCCGACUCCAUGAAGCUGGAUUCGCUAGUAAUCGCGCAUCAGCCACGGCGCGGUGAAUACGUUCCCGGGCCUUGUACACACCGCCCGUCACACCAUGGGAGUCAGUAACGCCCGAAGUCAGUGACCCAACCGAAAGGAGGGAGCUGCCGAAGGUGGGACCGAUAACUGGGGUG